rnacentral:pre_miRNA from 1 species
AACCAGCACAGACAGGCAUGGUCCAGGCAUCUCUGGGUGAGUAUCUCUUUGAGCACCUCACUCUCAAGCAUGACUAAGAGG